UUGAACGCUGGCGGCAUGCCUUACACAUGCAAGUCGAACGGCAGCACGGGAGCUUGCUCCUGGUGGCGAGUGGCGAACGGGUGAGUAAUAUAUCGGAACGUACCCUAGAGUGGGGGAUAACGCAGCGAAAGUUGCGCUAAUACCGCAUACGAUCUACGGAUGAAAGUGGGGGAUCGCAAGACCUCAUGCUCAUGGAGCGGCCGAUAUCUGAUUAGCUAGUUGGUGGGGUAAAGGCCUACCAAGGCAUCGAUCAGUAGCUGGUCUGAGAGGACGACCAGCCACACUGGAACUGAGACACGGUCCAGACUCCUACGGGAGGCAGCAGUGGGGAAUUUUGGACAAUGGGGGCAACCCUGAUCCAGCAAUGCCGCGUGAGUGAAGAAGGCCUUCGGGUUGUAAAGCUCUUUUGUCAGGGAAGAAACGGUGAGGGCUAAUAUCCUUUGCUAAUGACGGUACCUGAAGAAUAAGCACCGGCUAACUACGUGCCAGCAGCCGCGGUAAUACGUAGGGUGCAAGCGUUAAUCGGAAUUACUGGGCGUAAAGCGUGCGCAGGCGGUUAUGUAAGUCAGAUGUGAAAUCCCCGGGCUCAACCUGGGAAUGGCAUUUGAGACUGCAUGGCUAGAGUGUGUCAGAGGGGGGUAGAAUUCCACGUGUAGCAGUGAAAUGCGUAGAGAUGUGGAGGAAUACCGAUGGCGAAGGCAGCCCCCUGGGAUAACACUGACGCUCAUGCACGAAAGCGUGGGGAGCAAAAAGGACUAGAUACCCUGGUAGUCCUCCCCCUAUACGAAUGUUUUCUAGUUGUCGGGAGUUAAUUGUUUUGGUAACGCAGCUAACCCGUGAAGUAGACCGCCCGGGGAGUACGGUCGCAAGAUUAAAACUCAAAAGAAUUGACGGGGACCCGCACAAGCGGGGGAUGAUGUGGAUUAAUUCGAUGCAACGCGAAAAACCUUACCUACCCUUGACAUGUACGGAACCUCUGAGAGAUUAGAGGGUGCUCGAAAGAGAGCCGUAACACAGGUGCUGCAUGGCUGUCGUCAGCUCGUGUCGUGAGAUGUUGGGUUAAGUCCCGCAACGAGCGCAACCCCCGUCAUUAGUUGCUACGAAAGGGCACUCUAAUGAGACUGCCGGUGACAAACCGGAGGAAGGUGGGGAGGACGUCAAGUCCUCAUGGCCCUUCUGGGUAGGGCUUCACACGUCAUACAAUGGUACAUACAGAGGGCCGCCAACCCGCGAGGGGGAGCUAAUCCCAGAAAGUGUAUCGUAGUCCGGAUUGUAGUCUGCAACUCGACUACAUGAAGUUGGAAUCGCUAGUAAUCGCGGAUCAGCAUGUCGCGGUGAAUAAGUUCCCGGGUCUU
rnacentral:rRNA from 1 species